rnacentral:lncRNA from 1 species
AGUUGUUGAAGCUGGUGAUGGGUUCUUGGCAAAGAUGACCCCUACAUAAUGACUGCCUUGCUCUGAGAGAAAGGAGCUGUUCUGUCAGGAAAACUCAGGAAGCCUGUGGGAAGACCCAGUGGUGAAGAACUGAAGUCUCCAGCCAGCAGUCAGCAAGAAGCUGGGGUCUGGCAACACCUGUGUGAAUGAGCUUGGAGAUGAGUGCCUUGGCCUGAACCAUGCAGUUUGGAUGGUGGAAUACAAGUCAGGUUUCCAGAGAAGAGCAGAAGUACUUGGGUCAGGAAACCGCUUCAGAAACUGAUUGGAGAAAACGUGAUGAAUGGUGAGUGGGCUGGUGCAAGAGGAUCCUGAAGGCAACCAAGAGGUCUUGCAGAAGCCGUCAGAACCGAAGUGGAGUCACCUGUGUCAAAUCCUAACAGAAAUAAAUAAAUAAAGCUAGGAGGUUAUGACCGAAGGGAAUCUCAUGCCUGUAGGCCUGCUAAUAAGAACUCUGACAAAAGACUUCCAGAACCACGGCC